rnacentral:sRNA from 1 species
UUGACGUCCCUGUGGGCUGAAGCCCUCUAGCUAUCCACAGAGCAGGUACAGUACAGGCUCCAAGUGCACCAGCUGCCCCGCUCUGCCCUGUCGAUGAACCUCAGGCUGCCCCUUCUCUGGGGACCAGCUGUGAGGGUGAAAAAGCCAGGUCAGGCCUUGGGCCUCCCUGCUCAGGCUACG